AAUCAACGCUGGCGGCGUGCCUCAGACAUGCAAGUCGAACGCGAAAGUUUCCUUCGGGGAACAAGUAGAGUGGCGCACGGGUGAGUAACACGUAGGUAAUCUACCUUUGGAUGGGGAAUAACAACCGGAAACGGUUGCUAAUACCGCAUAAUGCAUCGGCACCUAAUGGUGACAGUUGUUAAAGCGGGGGAUCGAAGACCUCGCGUCUGAAGAGGAGCCUGCGGCGGAUUAGCUAGUUGGAAGGUAAUGGCUUACCAAGGCUUCGAUCCGUAGCCGGCCUGAGAGGGCGGGUCGGCCACACUGACACUGACAUACGGGUCAGACUCCUACGGGAGGCAGCAGUCGGGAAUAUUGGACAAUGGGCGCAAGCCUGAUCCAGCAAUGCCGCGU
rnacentral:rRNA from 1 species